GAAGGAGUUCUGGACCUGCUUCAUGUCCAUCAGGAGCUUCAACGGUGCUGGUUGGGCAACAAAGGAUGUCGGUCAGUGAAAGUGAGUGAGGGACCAGCAGAGAAGGGCCUGAGUUUGCUAGUACAGCAGGUAUUAGGAAAACCACUGAACAAAACCGAGCAACUCUCCAACUGGGAACGCCGACCACUCCGGACCAGCCAACUCCGCUAUGCAGCCACUGAUGCAUACUGCCUGCUAGACAUCUACCUUGUCCUCUCCCGGGACCCUAAGGCAUUUGGUUUGCCAGAGGACCUCCGUUCCAUUCCCUCAGCCCGACC